rnacentral:rRNA from 1 species
GUGCCAUCAGCCGCGGUAAUACCGGCAGCCCAAGUGAUGGCCGCUGUUAUUGGGCCUAAAGCGUCCGUAGCUGGCCGCACGAGUCCGUCGGGAAAUCCACCCGCUCAACGGGCGGCCGUCCGGCGGAACCUGUGUGGCUUGGGACCGGGAGGCCUGAGGGGUACGAUCGGGGUAGGAGUGAAAUCCUGUAAUCCCGCUCGGACCGCCGAUGGGGAAACCACCUCAGGAGAACGGAUCCGACAGUGAGGGACGAAAGCCAGGGUCUCCAACCGGAUUAGAUACCUUGGUAGUCC